rnacentral:rRNA from 1 species
UACGUAGGGGGCAAGCGUUGUCCGGAAUCAUUGGGCGUAAAGCGCGUGUAGGCGGUCCGGUAAGUCCGCUCUGAAAGCCCGGGGCUCAACCCCGGGAGGCGGGCGGAUACUGUCGGGCUAGAGUCCGGAAGAGGCGAGUGGAAUUCCUGGUGUAGCGGUGAAAUGCGCAGAUAUCAGGAGGAACACCGAUGGCGAAGGCAGCUCGCUGGGACGGUACUGACGCUGAGGCGCGAAAGCGUGGGGAGCAAACAGG